AACCACUCAAUGGUUUCACCAUCUGAUUUGUGACCAAGCUCCCUUGUUAGCUGGAAAACCCUAGCAGCACACGUAGCCGGCAUGCGGAUGCGACGGCCUCGGCCUUCCACUUUGGUGUGCCGGUCCUUGGUCGAAGUCCUCUUAGGUGGAGGUUUCUUGGAGGGAGGUUCCAAGGUUGGUUUGGAGCUGGUGUCGACGUCGGCAGGGUCGGAACGAGGUUGUUCCUUCUUUUCUAGGAGCUGAAGAGGAAAGUUCGGCCUGCGGAUCCCAUUUUCAUCCAUGAUCAUGUAUGAGAGAGUGGGAUUAUAUCUUUUUGGUGGUUUGGCUCUCCUAGUACAUGAUCUGAAGGUGACCCUCAAUUCAGUGACUUUGAUGGCCUAGGGGGUCUCUUUCAUUUUUGCUAUAUGAUGUUGUGUUGUGUAGCUUGGAAUUCCCUUUAGAUGGGGAAGAUUGAAGCUGCUGAGUUGGUUUUCUUAUCUCUGCACAGACCAAAGAGAGAGAGGGGAUAAGGGGAAGAGGGCAAGCUUUAAGCAACAACUACAAUGAGUGAGAAUUAUGAGGGUGGGCUAUGAAAGAAAAGCAGUGACUUUUUUCGGAUGGGAAAUAAUUCGUUUCAUUGAGGACCUCUUUGUAAUUUUCUCUUUUCUAUACUUCUUGUGAAAUAAAAUAAAAUCAUAUUAUUGUGGUUGGAUAGUCCCUUGAUUCAAACUCCACGUGCGGUGCUCUUUUAUCAUUCAAUCCAUAAAGACAGUGGUGGGCCCCGCGUCACCUUUACUCAAAAAAACUCAAUCACUCUCUCUCCAUCGUUAAAUUAUACAAAAGAGAAAGGCAAAUUAUUUAGAUAUAAUAAAGUGGUCCCCAUUCCAUUCUUGUAAUCAUUGCCUUAAUUUUAAAACAAAAGUUUACCUCUAAAUAAUUCCAUUACUUGUUAAUGGUUUUAUAUUAAGUUUGAUUUUUCUUAAAAACUCUUCCAAGAAGAAAAUCCGUUUAUUGGGGAUGAGAGUGAAGGAUACUUGAUGAAAAAUCUUUCAGUAGAUUUCUGAGUCAAUACCCAACACUUUUCAGGUCUCCAUCUUUGAACAUGUGAGCCAUACAGUCUGCAAUAUUAUAUAUAUAUAUAUGUGUGGUCCUUGAAAGUAUUGUUUAAAAAGCUUAUAUACCCAAAAUAUGCCUUUUAUUCCAUUUUCCAUUAAAGGCUUUCAUCUCUAUUUAUUUUCAAGUUUUGUAGGAGCAGGGGAACAUUUCAUAAGAUCAAUAGUCUAAAUCUUCCGACCAAUUGAACGUUGUGCAUGAGGAAUGUGGUGUUAGAUAAGGUGAAAGAAUAUAAACUUUUCUUUUAUGCCAAAUUUUGUUGGGACAUAAUAGUAAAAAGAACGAAAAAUCAUUUGGAUAACAUAGAUAAAUAUAAUGUAAUUACGCAUUGUCAAUCAAAUACAUCUAAAGAAUUAGAAUUCUUUGUAAUUAUAAAAGGAUGUAAUUACUAGUUUAGUAAUUAUAGUUUUAUCCAAUUAUUUUGUGGUGUCUAAGCACACUCUAACUAAAAAAGAAAAUCUGGUUAAAAAAAUUAACCUAAAACUUUUAUUCAAUAAAUUAUCGUAUUAGUCCCUCUAGUAUGUUCAAACUUUAAAUUUAAUCAUUACACUUUAAUUUGGCAUAAAAGUGGAGUUCUAGUCUUAAUAUCUAAAAUCCCUUCUUCUUCUUCUUUUCGAGCAAUCAAUAUAUUUACUCAUACUAGUGUAAAACUUAACUAAUUUUACAUACUUAUAUAUGUAAAUUUUUAUACGACUAAUAUUUUUAUAAUUCAUCCGUAAGCAAUUGUUGAUGAAUAAAACAACUUGAAUUAUACCAUAUGUGUAUAUGUAUACAUAUAGUAAAUAAAAAAGACCCACCAGCAAAGAGGAAUGAGAGAGAAGGCAUAGCACGUCUAACCCAUGUGCCUAACAGGCCGAAGUGUAGCUUAAAAGGGAACAAAAACAAGCACAUUGCCUAAAAUAUAGCGACUUCCAAAAUCUAUUUCAACAACCAACAUACCUAACUAUCUCAUAAUUCCAUUUUCUUUUCCCCAUCUUCUCUAAUCAUUUUUUUCCCUCUAAAUCUCCACUAAUCACCCUUCUUCCUCUUGAUUAUGACCCUUCCUUAAUAUGUCACCUUUCUUGUUUUAACUUUUUCAUUUCUUUUUUGUUUUACUAAAUCUUCGUGAUGUUGAAGAAAAAAAAACCCCAGUACAUUGUCAUUUCAAGUUCCCUACACCUUAACAUGCAUGUAACAAAACAAUGGUGUGUACGCAGACAGUGGCAUUUGCCUCUUUGGAUAUAUGGUUUAAUUCUUUUUUAGUCCUCUUAAAAUUUAAUUAUUUUUAGCUUUUAUGUUAAAUGAAUAAUUCUUUAGCUUUAUCUUCCAAAAUUUUUAAUUUUAUCCUAAUCACUCUUGAGUUGAAGCCUUGUUAAAAGAAAAUCAUACAGCACAAUGAUUCUUGAUAUGAAACCAAUAAUGUUAAAGUUGUCCUGAUGAAGUACUGUUUAUUAUAAAGGAACACCACAUAGAAGAAUUAAUACUUUUUUUAUCUGAAACUUUACAAAUGGUAUAUGUUAUAACAUUAUCUCUAUGUAAGUAAUAAUAAGAGUUGAGGGUGUACGCAUGGACAAGGGAAGUUGUAUAAAUUCUAUUCAAUAUUACCUUUUUUAAAAAUAAUUAAAAACUAAUAUUUUCUGGCAAGCCGAUUGUAAAAAUAAAUAAAGGGUCUCAUAUGCAGUAUAUCUCACAUCGUUUUAUCUUUUCAUUCAUCAAAUUAUUGAUAUUAUUACUAUUUUUCAUGUCUAAAAAAAAAUGAAGUAAGUUUGAUCUAAGCAAUUUUAGCAUUAACUCUUGGACCAAUAAUAAUGGGAUUUGGACCACAGCAGUGAUGUACUAUUUUAUGGUUGCUGCACGGUACAAAAACAUGCAAUCAUCUUCAUUUCAAUACAAAGUGUUUUUUAUUUUUAUUUGGGUAAUAGAAGAAAUCCUAUGUGGGUGUUCCUCUUCCGCUUAAAUUUUUUAAAUUUCUCUUAAAUCAAAUUUUGCCUAAAUUCCAAACAAAGUUUAUAAAUAUAUGAGUGGAAAAUAGUCCCCCAUUGGGGAAGAGAUCACGUGGCUUGCCAUCUUUUGCCGGUGAUGCUGAUGGCUUACCCUCCAUUUUUGUGUUUAAUUAUUUAACCGGAAUGUUAGUUGUAAAUCACCCCCUUGAUUUCUUCCCUUUUUGGGUCAAGCUGGCCGCUCUCUUUCUUUGAAUAUCAUUAACAGCAAUCGGAUAAGAUGUUACCCUUUUAACAUCUGUUCAUAAAUGAGAAUAUUUCAGAAUUUUUUGAAAUUUUAUAUUUUAUUUUAUUAGUCUCCUCAAUUAAGUUUUAAUUCAAUUGGUAUUGAUACGUGGGUUCAAGUACGCUCAAGAGCAUUAUCCUCCUAUUUUAAUGGUGUAGAUAUUAUAAUAAUAGUAAUAAUAUUUUUGCUGUGUUUGAAUAGUGGGGUGACAAAUGAAUAUAAUUAUUAAAUGUGAUUAUAACUUUUUGUAUAAUUUGUAAUGUAUUUGAAAUGUUAUAUUCAAAUAGCAGAAGCAUAGUAAUAAAAGAGACUACCAUUCUAAUACGGAAACAAAAUUAGAUGGAAUCACAGCUUGGCUUCCUCCCAAUUAUAUCAACUUUCAUUUCUUUGGGAUAACUUCCAUCAAUUUCUUUCAUCCAUAAUUGUUUUGGAUUUUGUUUUUUUUUUCAAUUUCAUCCACCAGCUUAGUUUCCAUUAAGUAUGAUGAUGUGACACUAUGAUAUUUAUAUCAAAUCAUCAUUUGAAAAUUUAAAAACUUAUAUUAAAUCUAAAUAAAAUAUUAAAUAUUAUAACAUCUUUAUUUCUUUUUUUUAAAAAAUCAAGUGAUAAUAUGGUACAAUCUCAAAGUGUUACGUCAUCAUGUCUUAACAAAAUCUAAGUGCAUGGACCAAAUUGAGAAAGGUACAAAGUUUCAAGACUAAUGUGGACUAAAAAUGUUGCAAUUUUUUUUCAAUUUGGUCCUUGAACUUCUUUUGUACACACUCCACAAUAGUCCUAGAAUUUGGUAACUUUUCCUAACUUGGCCCAUGAACUUGGAUUCCGUUAAGUACGAUGAUAUAACACUCUGGGAUUGUACCAAACCAUCGCUUAAUUUCAAAGUGGUACAAUCUCAAAGUGGCACAUCAUCGUACCUUAGCUAAAUCCAAAUGCCAGUACCAAAUUAAAAAAAAAACUGCAAAAUUUUAAUACUAAUAUAGACUAAAAAAAUUAAAAAGGAGCAAGAUAGGAAAAAACUUCCAAUCCAACAACUAAAAGUUACUUUAUCUUAAUUAAUAAAAAAUUUGAUUUAAAAAAUUGACAGAUUAACUGUUUGGGAAGAAAAAGGCUGGCUAAAGCCAAUAAAGAAAUUUCCACCAUCAUCCAUGGCUGUAUGAAAGAAGAAGAGUGGGUCAUUUUCUCUUUUAAGACUAUUUCCUAUGACUUCUCUACCUUAUACUCUUUUUUCUUAUGUUCAUAUAUAUUUCUUUUUAAAAACAAAAAAACCCUUUUGAAACGCCUUCGAAAUUGACUCUAAAAAUUUUGUCUACAAAAAUGCAAUGGCCAAGUCAAGCAAAUAUAUAGAGAAGAAAAUUCAAAUGCAAAUAAAUGUUAGGCCUAAUUGAGUAGAAUAUUUUGUACAACAAAAAUUUUGAUUUAGAAAACAAUUUUAAGACCUACUAGGUGCUGCUGUUGGCUAAUAAAAUGCCAACUGAGUCAGAUUGAAUUUAUAUAUAUCAUUAAUUUAUAUUAUUAUUUAAGUUUAUAAUUGAAUUGGUAUCGACUGUUAUGAGUCGAUCAGAGAUCAACUCGAUUAGGGUAAUUAUAAAAAUAUUCUUCCAUAAUUAAAAUAAAUUAUAUUAUCUAAAUGUAUUUUAAUCUUUUUUUUAUUUUAAGAAAAACCAAUAAAAAGAAUAAAGCAUGAAAGCCAUACACUUGUUGAACACUAGCUAGUUGAAUCAUGCCUAUUUUCUCCACCGUGGUGUUGAUGUGAUCCUCCGGCCGGAGGCUCGGAAACACCAAUACCCGGAACUGGUCUAUAAGCGUUUAGUGACGCCAGCAUACUUAAAUGAGUGUCUGUAACUGAGCCGCCGCCGGCACCGAUUCCGGAACCAAAUUGUUGGGCAGGGAGGAGAGCCAUUGGAGCGGCUAAAUUCAUAAAAUGCACCCCACUAGACAUAGUACCCCUAUACAUAUUAGUGUUAUUUGUUGAAGGAAAUGUCCACAUGGGAUCCCCAGUGCCACUCCCACUGAUGACUUGGUUGCCGAUCCAAAAUGUCGCCGGGAUCGGAUUAUGACUUGUCGGAAUCGAACCCGUAUUAGAUUGUAUCAAGUAACUUCCCACCUGAUUUUGUGGCGAUUCUUGCUGCUCCGGCCUCCUCCUCUUCCCUAUACUAGUAUCCGCGGCCUCGGCGUCCCGAAUCUCUUGCUUUGCUUGCAAGAAAGCGUUCAAAGUAGUGCUACUAGUACCAGGAAAGGUCAAUGAAUCUUCAGAUGAUAAAGCAACACCAGGAAAUAAAACCCUUCGUUGCUGUUGUUGUUGUUGAGAUGAAUCGUCAAGGACAUUCCUUUGAUCCCAUUCAUUCCUCGUCCUCAAUUGUUGUGUGGUAAAAUUUGGAUUGAAAUAAGUGUUCCUUAAGUGUGAAGCCGACAUGCUAGAACCUGAACUUCUUAGUGAAAUAUUAAGGGACGUGAAAUUUGCAGGGAUAGUACCUGUCCCCGUGGCAGCAAAAACCGCAGGCUCAGCUUGUUGGAGCAACCACUCAAUGGUUUCACCAUCUGAUUUGUGACCAAGCUCCCUUGUUAGCUGGAAAACCCUAGCAGCACACGUAGCCGGCAUGCGGAUGCGACGGCCUCGGCCUUCCACUUUGGUGUGCCGGUCCUUGGUCGAAGUCCUCUUAGGUGGAGGUUUCUUGGAGGGAGGUUCCAAGGUUGGUUUGGAGCUGGUGUCGACGUCGGCAGGGUCGGAACGAGGUUGUUCCUUCUUUUCUAGGAGCUGAAGAGGAAAGUUCGGCCUGCGGAUCCCAUUUUCAUCCAUGAUCAUGUAUGAGAGAAUGGGAUUAUAUCUUUUUGGUGGUUUGGCUCUCCUAGUACAUGAUCUGAAGGUGACCCUCAAUUCAGUGACUUUGAUGGCCUAGGGGGUCUCUUUCGUUUUUGCUAUAUGAUGUUGUGUUGUGUAGCUUGGAAUUCCCUUUAGAUGGGGAAGAUUGAAGCUGCUGAGUUGGUUUUCUUAUCUCUGCACAGACCAGAGAGAGAGAGGGGAUAAGGGGAAGAGGGCAAGCUUUAAGCAACAACUACAAUGAGUGAGAAUUAUGAGGGUGGGCUAUGAAAGAAAAGCAGUGACUUUUUUCGGAUGGGAAAUAAUUCGUUU
rnacentral:lncRNA from 1 species